rnacentral:rRNA from 1 species
GACGAACGCUGGCGGCGUGCUUAACACAUGCAAGUCGAACGGAAAGGCCCUGCUUUUGUGGGGUGCUCGAGUGGCGAACGGGUGAGUAACACGUGAGUAACCUGCCCUUGACUUUGGGAUAACUUCAGGAAACUGGGGCUAAUACCGGAUAGGAGCUCCUGCUGCAUGGUGGGGGUUGGAAAGUUUCGGCGGUUGGGGAUGGACUCGCGGCUUAUCAGCUUGUUGGUGGGGUAGUGGCUUACCAAGGCUUUGACGGGUAGCCGGCCUGAGAGGGUGACCGGGCAAAUUGGGACUGAGAUACGGGCCAGACUCCUACGGGAGGCAGCAGUGGGGAAUAUUGCACAAUGGGCGGAAGCCUGAUGCAGCAACGCCGCGUGCGGGAUGACGGCCUUCGGGUUGUAAACCGCUUUCGCCUGUGACGAAGCGUGAGUGACGGUAAUGGGUAAAGAAGCACCGGCUAACUACGUG